CUAUGCCUACGGGGGGCAGCAGUAGGGAAUCUUCCACAAUGGGCGAAAGCCUGAUGGAGCAACGCCGCGUGGGUGAAGAAGGUCUUCGGAUCGUAAAACCCUGUUGUUAGAGAAGAAAGUGCGUGAGAGUAACUGUUCACGUUUCGACGGUAUCUAACCAGAAAGCCACGGCUAACUACGUGCCAGCAGCCGCGGUAAUACGUAGGUGGCAAGCGUUAUCCGGAUUUAUUGGGCGUAAAGGGAACGCAGGCGGUCUAUUAAUUCUGAGGGUAAAGCAUUUGGCUU
rnacentral:rRNA from 1 species